ACUCAGUGAAAUUGAACUCGCUGUGAAGAUGCAGUGUACCCGCGGCAAGACGGAAAGACCCCGUGAACCUUUACUAUAGCUUGACACUGAACAUUGAGCCUUGAUGUGUAGGAUAGGUGGGAGGCUUAGAAGUGUGGACGCCAGUCUGCAUGGAGCCGACCUUGAAAUACCACCCUUUAAUGUUUGAUGUUCUAACGUUGACCCGUAAUCCGGGUUGCGGACAGUGUCUGGUGGGUAGUUUGACUGGGGCGGUCUCCUCCUAAAGAGUAACGGAGGAGCACGAAGGUUGGCUAAUCCUGGUCGGACAUCAGGAGGUUAGUGCAAUGGCAUAAGCCAGCUUGACUGCGAGCGUGACGGCGCGAGCAGGUGCGAAAGCAGGUCAUAGUGAUCCGGUGGUUCUGAAUGGAAGGGCCAUCGCUCAACGGAUAAAAGGUACUCCGGGGAUAACAGGCUGAUACCGCCCAAGAGUUCAUAUCGACGGCGGUGUUUGGCACCUCGAUGUCGGCUCAUCACAUCCUGGGGCUGAAGUAGGUCCCAAGGGUAUGGCUGUUCGCCAUUUAAAGUGGUACGCGAGCUGGGUUUAGAACGUCGUGAGACAGUUCGGUCCCUAUCUGCCGUGGGCGCUGGAGAACUGAGGGGGGCUGCUCCUAGUACGAGAGGACCGGAGUGGACGCAUCACUGGUGUUCGGGUUGUCAUGCCAAUGGCACUGCCCGGUAGCUAAAUGCGGAAGAGAUAAGUGCUGAAAGCAUCUAAGCACGAAACUUGCCCCGAGAUGAGUUCUCCCUGACCCUUUAAGGGUCCUGAAGGAACGUUGAAGACGACGACGUUGAUAGGCCGGGUGUGUAAGCGCAGCGAUGCGUUGAGCUAACCGGUACUAAUGAACCGUGAGGCUUAACCUU
rnacentral:rRNA from 1 species